CGUGCAGGCGGUCUGUUAAGUGCAGGGUGAAAGCUCCCGGCUCAACUGGGAGAGGUCCUUGCAUACUGGCGGACUUGAGGGGGGUAGAGGAAAGUGGAAUUCCCGGUGUAGUGGUGAUAUGCGUAGAUAUCGGGAGGAACACCUGUGGCGAAGGCGGCUUUCUGGGCCCUACCUGACGCUGAGACGCGAAAGCGUGGGGAGCGAACC
rnacentral:rRNA from 1 species